UAAGAGGCAGCCGGCAUACAACUUUAU
rnacentral:piRNA from 1 species